rnacentral:sRNA from 1 species
UACCCGAGGACGUGGCGGCCGCCGUCGUGGACGGUCUUGGAGACGAGGCCCAUCAGGCCGCCGCUGCCGCCGCCGUAGACCAGAUCGAGCUCCCUCUCGACCUGCGUGGAUCAAUGGAGGCCUUCGUGGGUGAGGCUAGGAGAGGGUAAAGACCGAGAGCGAAAGGGAGGGGGAAUAAGCUUGGGGGCGUCGUCAGAGCUAGACAACUCACCAGCUGCUUUCCGAGGUCGAGAGCGGCAGCGCUGAAGGACGGCCGGUUUCCCCGCCUGCUGCCGCAGAAGACGCAGAUCGUCCGCACCGGUCCCCGGCCCCCGCGGCUGCCGCUCUCCACAACCUUGUCGUGGUUAGCAUCCAUGUGU